rnacentral:rRNA from 1 species
CGGGGGGGGGGGCCUAUAAUGCAGUCGAGCGCGGGAAGCGAGUGGAUCCCUUCGGGGUGAAGCUCGUGGAACGAGCGGCGGACGGGUGAGUAACACGUGGGCAACCUGCCUGUAAGAUCGGAAUAACUCCGGGAAACCGGGGCUAAUGCCGGGUAAUACUUUCUUUCGCAUGAAGGAAAGUUGAAAGAUGGCUUCUUGCUAUCACUUACAGAUGGGCCCGCGGCGCAUUAGCUAGUUGGUGAGGUAACGGCUCACCAAGGCGACGAUGCGUAGCCGACCUGAGAGGGUGAUCGGCCACACUGGGACUGAGACACGGCCCAGACUCCUACGGGAGGCAGCAGUAGGGAAUCUUCCGCAAUGGACGAAAGUCUGACGGAGCAACGCCGCGUGAACGAUGAAGGUCUUCGGAUCGUAAAGUUCUGUUGUUAGGGAAGAACAAGUACCGUGCGAAUAGAGCGGUACCUUGACGGUACCUAACGAGGAAGCCCCGGCUAACUACGUGCCAGCAGCCGCGGUAAUACGUAGGGGGCAAGCGUUGUCCGGAAUUAUUGGGCGUAAAGCGCGCGCAGGCGGUUCCUUAAGUCUGAUGUGAAAGCCCACGGCUCAACCGUGGAGGGUCAUUGGAAACUGGGGAACUUGAGGACAGAAGAGGAGAGUGGAAUUCCACGUGUAGCGGUGAAAUGCGUAGAUAUGUGGAGGAACACCAGUGGCGAAGGCGACUCUCUGGUCUGUUUCUGACGCUGAGGUGCGAAAGCGUGGGUAGCAAACAGGAUUAGAUACCCUGGUAGUCCACGCCGUAA